GCCUGGGUGGCUCAGUCGGUUGGGUGUCUGACUUUAGCUCAGGUCACGAUCUCCUAGUUUGUGGGUUCCAGCCCCAUGUCAGGCU
rnacentral:tRNA from 1 species